GGCGAAUGCUGGCUGCGUGCUUAACACAUGCAAGUCGAACGGUGAAGGAGGGCUUGCCCUCCGGAUCAGUGGCGAACGGGUGAGUAACACGUGGGCAACCUGCCCCUCACUCUGGGAUAACGCCGGGAAACCGGCGCUAAUACCGGAUACGACCAGGCGCGACAUCUCGCCUGGUGGAAAGAAUUUCGGUGAGGGAUGGGCCCGCGGCCUAUCAACUAGUUGGUGGGGUAACGGCCCACCAAGGCGACGACGGGUAGCCGGCCUGAGAGGGCGAACGGCCACACUGGGACUGAGACACGGCCCAGACUCCUACGGGAGGCAGCAGUGGGGAAUAUUGCGCAAUGGGCGAAAGCCUGACGCAGCGACGCAGCGUGAGGGACGAAGGCCUUCGGGUUGUAAACCUCUUUCAGCGGGGACGAAGCGAAAGUGACGGUACCCGCAGAAGAAGCACCGGCUAACUACGUGCCAGCCGCCGCUGUAAUAC
rnacentral:rRNA from 1 species